UCUGGAGUGGGAUGCCGAUUUCCCGCCGGACGGGGCUGUCACGCGACUGUGACUUCCGGCUCUUGCUACUCGCACUCUAUUGCAUUCGGGGGAUUAGCUCAGCUGGCUAGAGCACCUGCUUUGCAAGCAGGGGGUCAACGGUUCGAAUCCGUUAUUCUCCACCAAGGAAAGCGCACAUUGACAUGUUGGAAGCGAGUAAAGAAUCCUGAAAAGGACGAUUUACAACGAGCAAAUCAAAGAAAACUCAUUAAUACAAUCUCUGAAGAGCGCCGCCGGCAAGACGGUGGCGAACCAAAAAAUAUAAGGAAAGGAGAAAAGGGCACAUGAAGGAUGCCUAGGCUCUCGGAGGCGACGAAGGACGUGACAAGCUGCGAUAAGCCGUGCCCAGGGGCAAAUACCCGCACAAGCACGGAUUUC
rnacentral:sRNA from 1 species